AGCCAUUGAGACCUUUACACACACCAACCCACAGCAUGUGACUCCCUGCUUCCUAAGAGAGGUUCUCCACAGGUCUGGUGUUCAUAACAUCAGUAAAGAAGAUAAACUGUGUAUUUUGGAAUACAUACUGAGUGAUGGAAAAUACAAAGAACUGGAGGGACUUCAGCUACUUCCUCUCAGUGAUGGAUCUUUCAGAUCUUUCACAAAGAAAGAGGAGGACACUGCUUUGAUUGACAACAAGGAAUUUCCAAGAACACUUCUGCCAUACUGCAAUCACCUCUUCAUCCCCCUUGAUCUAAGUUCAACUUGCAGAAACCACCUGGAAGAGCUGGCCAAGCUGGGGGUAUUCCGAGUCAUCAACACUAAUAAAAAACAUGUAGAGGAAUAUACAAGAAAAUUUCUACCACAGGACUGGAAGCAGAUGGAGAAAAGGCUCGUUGCUUGGAACACCAACAGAAGUGACCAUCCACCAUUAGAUUGGCUUCAGGAAUUCUGGAGGUUUCUGAACUCUCAUUUCAGUGAGUUAAGCUGUUUCAGGGAAAUACCUCUGAUACCCGUCAGUCCCCUCUCGAACAGUCAGCCUGUAUCACUGGCAAAGCUACAACAGAAGACAACCCUCAUUUUUCAGGAACGAGGACAGAACAGUUUGCCUGACCAAAUAGCUCAGCUGGUGACCAAAACUGGUGGCACAGUGGUGAGAGGAAAUGAGUGGCUUAAACAUGAAGACCUUGAAACUUAUGUCCUGACCCCAUCUCCAAGGAGCGUCAUGAAGGUGUUGAUGAAUUUAGACUCUAAGAAAGUCAUCAGCAUUGUGAAGUCUGAGUCUCAAAAGACAAGAGAAAAUCUGAAAGAUUAUUUGUCAGAUCUAAAUGUCCUCUCAGGUCAAGAGAAAGAGUUCCUCAUGAAGCUACCUGUGUUUCAAACUAUGACCGGAUCCUUGGUCACAGCUCAAUCAAAGCAGGCUUUGGUUCUAACAUCUGGUCUGGUUAUA